rnacentral:rRNA from 1 species
UGAGGAAUAUUGGUCAAUGGGCGCGAGCCUGAACCAGCCAAGUAGCGUGAAGGAUGAAGGUCCUAUGGAUUGUAAACUUCUUUUAUAGCAGAAUAAAGUGACCCACGUGUGGGUUUUUGUAUGUAUGCUAUGAAUAAGGAUCGGCUAACUCCGUGCCAGCAGCCGCGGUAAUACGGAGGAUCCGAGCGUUAUCCGGAUUUAUUGGGUUUAAAGGGUGCGUAGGCGGAAAGAUAAGUCAGCCUGUGAAAGUUUGCGGCUCAACCGUAAAAUUGCAGUUGAUACUGUUUUUCUUGAGUGUGCAUAAGGUAGGCGGAAUUCGUGGUGUAGCGGUGAAAUGCUUAGAUAUCACGAAGAACUCCGAUUGCGAAGGCAGCUUACCGGGGUACAACUGACGCUGAUGCACGAAAGUGUGGGUAUCAAAC